AUUCCAGCUCCGCCAGUGUAUAUCUAUGCUGCUGCUGUUAAAAAGCUCGUAGUUGGAUCUUCGUGUUGAUGCCGGUCUGUCUUUGUGACAUGAACUGAUCAUCAGCACUGUUUCGUUGGUUUUCCCUUGAUGCCUUUAAUCGGGUGUCCUGGGCGGCCAACAUGUUUACUUUGAAAAAAUUAGAGUGCUUAAAACAAGCGAUUUGCUUGAAUAUUCGUGCAUGGAAUAAUAGAAUAGGCUUUUGGCUCUAUUUUGUUGGUUUUCGGAGCACAAGAGAAUGAUUAAGAGGGACAGACGGGGGCAUUCGUACUCCGACGUUAGAGGUGAAAUUCUUGGAUCGUCGGAUGACGCACUACUGCGAAAGCAUUUGCCAAGAAUGUUUUCAUUAAUCAAGAACGAAAGUUAGAGGUUCGAAGGCGAUCAGAUACCGCCCUAGUUCUAACCGUAAACGAUGCCAACUAGCGAUCUGCUGGUGUUUUUUCAGACCCAGCAGGGAGCUUACCGGAAACGAAAGUCUUCAGGUUCCGGGGGAAGUAUGGUUGCAAAGCUGAAACUUAAAGGAAUUGACGGAAGGGCACCACCAGGAGUGGAGCCUGCGGCUUAAUUUGACCCAACACGGGAAAACUCACCCGGCCCGGACACCGUAAGGAUUGACAGAUUGAGAGCUCUUUCUUGAUUCGGUGGGUGGUGGUGCAUGGCCGUUCUUAGUUGGUGGAUUGAUUUGUCUGGUUUAUUCCGAUAACGAACGAGACUCCAACCUACUAACUAGUGGGCGAAUCUUCUUGUUCGCAACACUUCUUAGAGGGACAAGCUGUGUUUAGCAGCAUGAGAAGGAGCAAUAACAGGUCUGUGAUGCCCUUAGAUGUCCGGGGCUGCACGCGCGCUACACUGAAGGAAUCAACGUGCUAGAAAACCUUGUUUGACAUGGCUAGGUAACCCCUUGAAAAUCCUUCGUGAUUGGGAUCGGGACUUGCAAAUGUGUCCCUUGAACGAGGAAUUCCCAGUAAGUGCGAGUCAUCAGCUCGCGCUGAUUACGUCCCUGCCCUUUGUACACACCGCCCGUCGCUGCCCGGAACUGAGCCGUUUCGAGAAGACUGGGGACUGCCGACUUAGGGCCUUCACGGGUUUUUUGUCAGUGGAAACCAAUUUAAUCGCAGCGGCUUGAACCGGGCAA
rnacentral:rRNA from 1 species